rnacentral:rRNA from 1 species
UACGUAGGGGGCAAGCGUUGUCCGGAUUUAUUGGGCGUAAAGAGCGUGUAGGCGGCCUAGUAGGUCAGCUGUGAAAACUCGAGGCUCAACCUCGAGCUGUCGGUUGAAACCACUAGGCUAGAGUCCGGAAGAGGAGAAUGGAAUUCCCGGUGUAGCGGUGAAAUGCGCAGAUAUCGGGAUGAACACCCGUGGCGAAGGCGGUUCUCUGGGACGGUACUGACGCUGAGACGCGAAAGCGUGGGGAGCGAACAGG